rnacentral:rRNA from 1 species
AUUGAACGCUAGCGGCAUGCCUUACACAUGCAAGUCGAACGGAGUGGCGAACGGGUGAGUAAUGUAACGGUACGUGCCCAGUCGCGGGGGAUAACUACGCGAAAGCGUAACUAAUACCGCAUACUAUUGGAGCCGGCGAUAUCGGAUUAGCUAGUUGGUGGGGUAAAGGCCCACCAAGGCGACGAUCCGUAGCUGGUGUGAGAGGACGACCAGCCACACUGGGACUGAGACACGGCCCAGACUCCUACGGGAGGCAGCAGUGGGGAAUUUUGGACAAUGGGGGAAACCCUGAUGCAGCCAUCCCGCGUGUGUGAUGAAGGCCUUCGGGUUGUAAAGCACUUUUGGCAGGAAAGCGGUACCUGCAGAAUAAGCACCGGCUAACUACGUGCCAGCAGCCGCGGUAAUUC